GGUCCCGUGGUGUAGUGGUUAACAUGCCUGCCUGUCACGCAGGAGAUCGCCGGUUCGACCCCGGUCGGGACCGCCACUU
rnacentral:tRNA from 4 species